CAGCAGCCGCGGUAAUACGAAGGGUGCAAGCGUUAAUCGGAAUUACUGGGCGUAAAGCGUGCGUAGGCGGUUUGUUAAGUCUGUUGUGAAAUCCCCGGGCUCAACCUGGGAAUGGCAGUGGAUACUGGCUCGCUAGAGUGUGUCAGAGGAUGAUGGAAUUCCCGGUGUAGCGGUGAAAUGCGUAGAGAUCGGGAGGAACAUCAGUGGCGAAGGCGGCCAUCUGGGACAACACUGACGCUGAGGCACGAAAGCGUGGGGAGCAAACAAGAUUAGAUACCCCAGUAGUCCCUGUCUCUUAUAC
rnacentral:rRNA from 1 species